CCCAAAACACAACGGGCGGUCGCGACCCGUCAACAUGCAGUGGAUUUUUGCGUUUAGCCCCCCGCGACCCGCAGUAACUCCCGAGUCGUCGCCUGUUUUGUCUACGAGCAACGACCCGUGCUCCGAGGCACGGCGACGGGGAAGGCGACCGCUGUACGGCGUGCUGCGGGGAGAAGACGAGGGCAUGAAUCCGCUGCGCGCGGAGGAAGUUUCUAUACACCAAAGGGCCGAGACCGCGAGCGGCAGUGGCCCAAGGGUCUCUAGCGUGGUAAGGUGCUUGUCAGUGAUGGCUGCAAGAUCUGAAAUUACCAUCACGGUGAGGCUCGGAUGGGCCAAUAGAUAGACCAUGGAGGUAGCUGCGGAGGUUGCGGUGCCGGGGGCGCGAGGAAUCGGCCAGAGGUGAGCUGUGGGCAUGGAACUUUGGCCGGCUGCAGGGAGCUCCGUGGCUUCAACCGUGAUGAGAAAUGACGGGAGAUGGAGAUGCACGGGGAAGAUGAACAGUACAAGCUAGCAAGCAAUGGAUGUUUAGUACUUGUGUGUUCAUGAUUUUGUAAAAUUCACAGUAAAAUAAAUACAGGUCCAAAUAAUCUCAAAUUUGUUUUGUUGGAUCUAUCUUGUGAUGCUUUACAUUUGAAAAAUAUGAAUACCCAUACUACUAUUCUGUGUUUUUA